UCAAGAUUAAUUUUCGAUCACAGCUUAAUCAAUUAUGUGUCACAGCCACAAUCACAAUUUUUAGGUCAUAUAUUACAAAUUAACCAAUUAUUAGUUACAAUCAACCAAAUAAUUGGUCACAAACAUCCAACCCCAUCUCAUCCCACUCAAGACCACCAUCACUAUCAUUAUUAUUGCCACGUAACCUCCAAAAUACGAAAGCUACAAACACUACCACUUCAACAACCAAAACCAAUGCCUCACCGAUAUCAACCACCUGUGCCACCAUCGUACCACUGCCACAACCACAGUCGACGUAGCAAAAAAUUUGAAAAAAAAUGAACUGCACACCACUGCCACGCCACACCACACCACACCACACCACACAUCAUCACUACCACUACCAUCACACUAUACACCACCACCACAGUAACAAUUGCCACGACUGCAAAACUCACCGAUACAGCACCCAAACACCAUCUACCAACACAACAUAACCACCACCACCACUGUCAACAUCACCACAAAAUCCCUAAAUCCACCACCGCCUGCAUCAUCUCACCACACCACGGCCACCACCCCUAUCAACAAUUUUAGCCACCGUCAACACAACUACAAAUCCCUAAACCCGCCAUCGCCUGCACCAUCUCACCACACCACGGCCACCACCCCUACCAACAAUUCUAGCCACCACAACCACCACCCAUCAAGUGGGAGACGGCUCAUCGUCGCUAUACGCGAUGACUCGUCUUUUCA
rnacentral:lncRNA from 1 species